rnacentral:lncRNA from 1 species
GGAGAGAGAGACCUGGGAUCUCAUCGCCGCCACGCCUUGCCCCGCUGCCGCUCCUCGCCUCAGGCACGAGGUGAGGGGUGAGCGGAGGGGAGGAGAGGGGAGGUUGGGGAGGAAGAAGGAGGGGGUCCGCUGUGGCGGAGGGAGGGUAGAAAAGGGAGAGGGUCCGGUGGAGGGAAGGGAGAGAGAGGGGUCAUCGCCGACCACUGGGGAGAGCGAGGGAGAGGCCG